rnacentral:rRNA from 1 species
GACGAACGCUGGCGGCGUGCUUAACACAUGCAAGUCGAACGGUGAACGAGGGCGCUUGCUCCGUCCGGAUCAGUGGCGAACGGGUGAGUCACACGUGAGCACUCUGCACCGAACUAUGGGAUAAGCGAUGGAAACGACGUAUAAUACAGGACACGACGCGGGAGGGCAUCGUCUCCGCGAGGACAGAACUUCGGAUCGGGAUGGGCUCGCGGCCUAACAGCUUGUUGUUGAGGUAACGGCACACCACGGCGACGACGGGUAGCCGGCCUGAGAGGGUGACCGGCCACACGAGUACUGAGACACGGCCCAGACUCCAACUGGAGACAGCAGUGGAGAAUAUUGCACAAUGGGCGCAAGCCUGAUGCAGCAACGCCGCGUGAGUGACGACGGCCUUCGUGUUGGAAACCUCUUUUAGCUGGUAAGAAGCGAAAUUGACGUUACCUGCAGAAAAAGCACCGGCUAACUACGUG